rnacentral:rRNA from 1 species
UGUAAGCGUAUACCAAAGUUGUUGCAGUUAAAACGCUCGUAAUCGGAAUUUGGCAGUUCCGGAUGUGUGCACGUCGUGUGCGCACUUCGCGGGGAUUGCUUUUGUGGUCUUGCGUAGGAUGAGGCACUUUUAUUAGUGAACGUCCUCACGCAACCACUUUUUACUGUGAGAAAAUCAGAGUGCUCAAAGCAGGCAUUUGCCGUGAAUGUAUUAGCAUGGAAUAAUAGAAUAGGACUUGGUUCUAUUUUGUUGGUUUGUUGGGACUGAGUAAUGAUUAAGAGGGACAGUUGGGGGCAUUUGUAUUUCGGUGCUAGAGGUGAAAUUCUUAGAUUACCGAAAGACAAACUGCUGCGAAAGCGUCUGCCAAGGAUGUUUUCAUUGA